rnacentral:rRNA from 1 species
GAUCCUGGCUCAGGAUGAACGCUAGCUACAGGCUUAACACAUGCAAGUCGAGGGGGCGAGCAUGGUCUUAGCUUGCUAAGACUGAUGGCGACCGGCGCACGGGUGAGUAACACGUAUCCAACCUGCCGUCUACUCUUGGACAGCCUUCUGAAAGGAAGAUUAAUACAAGAUGGCAUCAUGAGUCCGCAUGUUCAUAUGAUUAAAGGUAGUUCCGGUAGACGAUGGGGA